AGAUCAUGUUGAGUACAACUUCUAAGCAAGCCCUUGUAUCUCUCCUAUGCUUCAUACAAUGAAACUCCAACCUCUUGCUGAAAAUUAGCACUCUUCUUCUUGGGCUU